CACGUUCCAACCCUUUCGGCGCCUGCCGCCGGCGCAGACGGGCGGAGCUUCGGCCGCCGGUUCUCUGUCUUUCGGCCGCCCCAGGCUGGGUGCGGGAGGGCGUCGCCGCCGUAGUUUUGAGAUCAAGACCCUACGGUGUUUCAUGCCCAGUUGCAUGUUUGCAGUCUUAGAAGCAAAGUAGGUGAGAUCUGACAACACAGAGACUCCAGCCUUGCAGAAGACAUCUUGCUGAACUUCAGUGUGUCAUUCUGAGCUUCUGACAGGAACAGUCAAAGCCUACAGCCUGUGAGUUGAAUUUGAGAGUGAACAGAAGCUCUGCCAUUUGCUGCUGGCGUCUGUCUCUGACCUCAACAAAAGUAUCCAAGUGUUCAUCAUUUCCCAGAUGGCGAAGAAUGGAACAGAAGAGUGGAUGGCUAGAAGUUUUCUUUUGAAGAGAGUGUCAAGAAACAUGCCCUCUUAAAGGCUCAAAAAGCUGCACAUUUUCCAGAACUGUCAACUGACUACAAUUUUGACUGAUAGAGGAUCAUCAGAUGAGAACUACAAAAAUA